AACGAACGCUGGCGGCAUGCCUAACACGUGCAAGUCGAACGAGACCUUCGGGUCUAGUGGCGCACGGGUGCGUAACGAGUGGGAACCUGCCCUUAGGUUCGGAAUAACUCCCCGAAAGGGGUGCUAAUACCGGAUAAUGUCUUCGGACCAAAGAUUUAUCGCCUUUGGAUGGGCCCGCGUUGGAUUAGCUAGUUGGUAGGGUAAAAGCCUACCAAGGCGACGAUCCAUAGCUGGUCUGAGAGGAUGAUCAGCCACACUGGGACUGAGACACGGCCCAGACUCCUACGGGAGGCAGCAGUGGGGAAUAUUGGACAAUGGGCGAAAGCCUGAUCCAGCAAUGCCGCGUGAGUGAUGAAGGCCUUAGGGUUGUAAAGCUCUUUUACCCGGGAUGAUAAUGACAGUACCGGGAGAAUAAGCUCCGGCUAACUCCGUG
rnacentral:rRNA from 1 species